CAGUAGCCACGGUAAAACGAAGGGGGCUAGCGUUGUUCGGAAUUACUGGGCGUAAAGCGCACGUAGGCGGAUCGAUCAGUCAGGGGUGAAAUCCCAGGGCUCAACCCUGGAACUGCCUUUGAUACUGUCGAUCUGGAGUAUGGAAGAGGUGAGUGGAAUUCCGAGUGUAGAGGUGAAAUUCGUAGAUAUUCGGAGGAACACCAGUGGCGAAGGCGGCUCACUGGUCCAUUACUGACGCUGAGGUGCGAAAGCGUGGGGAGCAAACAGGAUUAGAUACCCCUGUAGUCCCUGUCUCUUAUAC
rnacentral:rRNA from 1 species